rnacentral:rRNA from 1 species
GAUGAACGCUGGCGGCGUGCCUAAUACAUGCAAGUCGAGCGAACAGACGAGAGUGCUUGCACUCUCUGACGUUAGCGGCGGACGGGUGAGUAACAUGUGGGUAACCUACCUAUAAGACUGGGAUAACUUCGGGAAACCGGAGCUAAUACCGGAUAAUAUUUAGCUUCGCAUGAAGCAAUAGUGAAAGACGGUUCUGCUGUCACUUAUAGAUGGACCCGCGGUGUAUUAGCUAGUUGGUGAGGUAACGGCUCACCAAGGCAACGAUACAUAGCCGACCUGAGAGGGUGAUCGGCCACACUGGGACUGAGACACGGCCCAGACUCCUACGGGAGGCAGCAGUAGGGAAUCUUCCGCAAUGGACGAAAGUCUGACGGAGCAAUGCCGCGUGAGUGAAGAAGGUCUUCGGAUCGUAAAACUCUGUUGUAAGGGAAGAACAAGUACGUUAGUAACUGAACGUACCUUGACGGUACCUUACCAGAAAGCCACGGCUAACUACGUG